rnacentral:rRNA from 1 species
AACGAACGCUGGCGGCGCGCUUAACACAUGCAAGUCGAACGAGAAGGCGUAGCAAUACGCUUGUACAGUGGCGAACGGGUGAGUAACACGUGGGUGACCUACCCUCGAGUGGGGAAUAACCCGCCGAGAGGCGGGCUACUGCCGCGUACGCUUCCAGGUUUGCGGAUCUGGAAGGAAAGCCAUGCCGUGGGCAUGGCGCUCAAGGAUGGGCUCACGUCCUAUCAGCUUGUUGGUAGGGUAACGGCCUACCAAGGCAGCGACGGGUAGCUGGUCUGAGAGGACGAUCAGCCACACUGGCACUGCGACACGGGCCAGACUCCUACGGGAGGCAGCAGUGAGGAAUAUUGCGCAAUGGGCGAAAGCCUGACGCAGCGACGCCGCGUGGGGGAUGAAGGUCUUCGGAUUGUAAACCCCUUUCGGGAGGGAAGAUGGGACGGGCAACCGUUCGGACGGUACCUCCAGAAGCAGCCACGGCUAACUUCGUGCCAGCAGCCGCAGUAA